GCUAAGUUUGAUGAAAAUAAGUUGUAUUCCAAAACUGACGGAUCAUUUAAAGUAUGAGAAACCUGUAAUGAGGUUUUGAGCUGAAUCUUUGCGUUGUGGGGCAGAUUUUUGCAGUUUUUGCUGGUUUUUUGAACAUGUUGUUUGAGGAAUUGGUUGACUUUAAUUUCUGUAUAGAGUGCAGCAGAGAUGAAAUGUUUUGUUCAGAAAAUAUUGUUCUCAAAUUAACAACUUUUUGUUUUGUUCUCUUACACAUUUUCACUAAAGGUGCAGUGCUAACAUUUAUGCUAUAAAAGAACUACACCAGAGUAAUAAGACUUGAACUUCACUGUAAGAGCCAAAGGGAAUGUUUAGGUUUUCUUUAUUUGUUAUGGUGGCACUUUAGAUUUUCCCCGCACCUCAGAUAAUUGCAUCCUGGGGUCGCACGUUAUUUACCUGACGUUCUCAACACGGAGGUUGGGGGAGUGGUUUGGUUGCAAACUUUUCUGCUGACCGUCAUUUUAGCACGUCAGUUAAUACAUUUGUACAUUUGUUUUGAAUCAAAGCGCAAAGUUUGUUGUUUUGUUUUAAAAUAAAUACGCAAACACAAAUGGGACUAAGUGGCUCAUUGGAGACACGUCACACAUCCACAUUUGCGGAUGGAAGUCCCAACAUUCAAAUGUGUUUUAUCGCAUGCAUCAGAACAAUGAAGAGGAUUUGUGGAUAUACGUUUUGGAGUCACGAAGCUUUCAGAUAGUCGGACGCUGUUCUCAAAGGAGUUAUUGGAAACGUCACCGCCACAGUGACACGAAAAAGAUUGACGCAACAUACACAUCAGAAGCGACUUGAGAUAUGACUGCACUAUGCUGUUGCUGUGACUCCAGUUAAUUCUACAAGACAUGCUGUGACAACAGGAGAGAUGGGUCCUCCGUCACAGAUGGUGUGGUCAGUGAAGAUGGUCGCCUGCAGGUUCAAGCUCAUUGCAUCUCCAACCCACAUCCACUGCCACUCUACUUAAGGGAAGUUAAAGACUAGAGCAGGGCGAUAUGGCCAAAAAUAAUUAUCACCAUAUGUAUUUGAAAA